AUAGUUAGCCGGCAGGGGAGAUACCAUGACCACAAAGGAGGUUUUCCCAGAGCAAGGCUUAUCCUUUGCACUCCUGAUGUGCUGACCAUUGAGAUUUCCCCAAAUGUGGGAAACUCGACUGCAUAAUUUGUGGUAGUGGGGGACUAUGUUUGUGCUUUAC
ensembl:snRNA U1 U1 spliceosomal RNA